rnacentral:rRNA from 1 species
UACUAACGGGUACACAAAGUCCGAGGUCGUCGGUACGUACCAUUUUGGACGGUCUAGAAAACAAGUUGGGGUCACCGUAGGUGCAGCCUAAUACGACAGCGGGGUCACGUUUCGGCUUAGAUAAAAAAGUUUAGAGGGACAGUAUGCGGCGACUUUCGGCUUUCAAAAGUUGAAAGUUGAAAGUUGAAACUCGUCGCCGUGUUCAUGUCUUUAUAGUCGGGUUGUUAGGUUCCUUCUGUCACCCGCCUCGUUUCCCCUUUUUUCGAAGAAAGAAGGAAGGAAGUGGGACCGGGCGGCCGGGGCGAGCAGCGGAGGGAGCCGAGCCGGGAUAGGUGGGUGGGCAGCUGCCUCCUGCCUGCCAGAGGAAUUUAGGCUAGGCGCCUAGUGGUGAUGGUGGUGGUAAUGGCGCGGAGGCGAGGGAGCGGGGCGAGAGGGGAAAGAACGCACGGGUGGGUGGGCGGAGUGAGGGUUGGGUUGGUGGUGAGUUCCAGCCGUGACGGCGACGCUGAAGAACCACUCGUGAGCCUAGUCCAAAGUGUCCGCAGCCUGGCGCUCCUUCGGCGGCCUAGAAGAGGCUGCAGCCACGGCUCUAGGCCUCACGUUUAGACUUGGGGCACGCAGAGGCUCGGAGUCCCCUAGAGGACGCCCUAAAACUAAAACCCCUAGCAAGAACAACCUAUUGUCAAGUCGCCGGCAGGCUAGACGCGAGAGAUGUGGUCACUAGCGUGAGAACGACGACAGCGGACGACGACGCCAACCAAUGAGUCCCAAACGUAGUCCAGGUUUCUACUGAAACGCGUCGUAUCAAGCGCUAAAUUCCCUCUCGAAGCCUUUGGACAGUUCCGCCUUAAAGCUCCGCUUUUAGAGUUCGCAGGGUUCGGAAAGCCCGGUAGUGGCUCCCUUUAGCGAACUUAGACGUUCACUAGACGUCCUAUCAGAACAGUGUUUGGACGUUCCGUUAACCCGAUCGGAAGGAGGACUUAAUGAAGCCCUACACUACUUUUCCGACCUCCUUCUGCUGUCGUUAACCGGCAGGGCGUUUCUACAACAACGGACGCGAAGACAGACAUGUUGGACCUCUCUGUACACGUUCCUAUAACACUCCUUAGGUCUUAAGACACCUUUCGAGUGGAAAGGACACAGGGAAUUCGUCGGACCUAGAGCUCUACCUAACUAGGUUACAAAGUAGUUUUCCCUGUUCAGUUUCGACUGAAUAGCAGAGAUGGACAGGGAAUGAAGACGACACGAACUACUAUUACCGUUCAAGGAUGACAGUCGAUUUUCCUCAGCCUCUUGUUGAAUGUGGCUGAUACGGUAAAGAUACCUAGGAUUUUUAUAUAGGGCCAGUUCAUCACCGAUGUAGCCCUUUAACUCCAGUUUAAAGGAGCCGUGGUUUAAGUAGUAGAUGCUGUGCGUCGGCAGGAUGUUACGGUCAUUUGAGACGGGCGUCCUUGCCUGGUCGGCCGCCAAGAGGAGGUCCUUUCAGAGGGGGUUUCAAGGUCGCCGCUGACCGUCGAUGGGGUAGCGAGUCCACUUGAUGCUCGACUUGCACGAGCCGUGGGCGCCCGGUUCCGCCUACGUCACGUGGUACUUGAGGUAGGGCUGUAGCCGCCAUCUGGGACUACCGCAACACGGACCGGUUGGCUUCCUCGAGGAGGGAGCCGAUAAGCUCCUUAGGAAGGCGUGGUGGCGUUCAAGGGCCAUGAGGUGCCUGAAGUCGUCGACGGUGAAGAGGCUCAAACCCCCUCCCGGAGACUCUCUUCUUCCACCGCUGCUUUUACGCCCCCUGUUCCUCUCGGGCGACCAAGAGUUCUUGUUCAGCGGAGCCACCGUGCUCGUCGACGUCACGACCACGGAGUUGAAGGCCCCCGCGCAGUGCCACCGGAGCCAGUUCUUGAAGGUCGACUAGCGGCGGGGGCGGGGCGGUGGCGGUCGGAGGCCUCCUCUCCGCCGAGGGCUCGGCAGAAGUGUCUGCGUUGGCGGGGUCGUCGUCGGAUGGAGACGACGGCGGCGCGUCGGGGUCGGACGACCGUCAAGGAACAGCCGCAGCAGCAGGAGCAGGAGCUCGGUGGUGCUGUGCCACGACGACGUCAAGCCGUUCCACAGGUUCCUGUGGAAGUGGUACCUGAUGGCCAUGGGCGACAGCCGCAAGGUCCGGAAGCGGUAGACGGACUGGUCGAAGCUGUGGUUCGACCGCACACUUAUUUGUCUAAGAGUCAUGUUGUAGUCGCCAGUAAGUCACAGGGGAGAUACAGCUCGAAGGGCGGGCCCGGACCCUUGUUUGCUCGCUUGCCUACGUAGUUCACGUCCUGAUUUAAAGAGACGUCGUAUGUCGAUGACAACCAAGUCAAAGUCAGGGGGGUAACACGGACCAUUUCCACAAUAGUUAUCCAUCCCCUCUACUACACGAACAAUUUCGACAACUAUCCCAAUCCCCGACUUCCACAGACACCAAGUCCCUGUCCGAAGGUGAUUCCUACACUAACGAUGGAUACGGACAGACUACGACGGAGACGGACCCUGACCAUACUUUACACCUAAUCUCUACAACUCAACGUUCCAUCACGAUCCCUACAACACCAGAACGUUCCAACUCAACAGGACCAGAGAGUCAAACCCCGUAACAUAGACCACCCACGAGUCGGGUCUGUCGUAUGUACAUGAUCUUCAAUGAACUCACGACCUGACUACACUGGUACCUACAUUCUUUAGAACUAAACUAGUCAACUAAACGAACGAACGCACCACACGACGUGACAUAGACGAUUGUCAGCCGCUAGUGACGGUAAUAUAAUCGA